UGAAUACGAGACGCUAAGGCGUCGAAGUAGUGUAUGUCAUACUUCCAAGAAAAGCUUGCACUGUCAUAGAUAAAAAACGCCUGUACCAUAACCGACACAGGUGGGUAGGUAGAGUAUACUAAGGGGCGCGAGAUAACUCUCUCUAAGGAACUCGGCAAAAUAACUCCGUAACUUCGGGAGAAGGAGUGCCUUAUUCGUAAGGUUGCAAUAACAAGAUCCAAGCAACUGUUUAUCAAAAGCACAGGUCUCCGCUAAGUCGUAAGACGAUGUAUGGGGGCUGACGCCUGCCCAGUGCCAGAAGGUUAAAGAAGUUGGUUAGCAAUUGCGAAGCUGAUAACUGAAGCCCUGGUGAACGGCGGCCGUAACUAUAACGGUCCUAAGGUAGCGAAAUUCCUUGUCGGGUAAGUCCCGACCCGCACGAAAGGCGUAAUGAUUUGGAUACUGUCUCGGAGAGGGGCUCGGUGAAAUAGACUUGUCUGUGAAGAUGCGGACUACCUGCACCAGGACAGAAAGACCCUAUGAAGCUUUACUGUAACUUGAAAUUGAAAUUGGACUUUAUUCGCGCAGUAUAGGUGGGAGGCGUUGAUUAUAAUCUUGUGGGAUUAUUGGAGCCAUCAGUGAGAUACCACUCUUGUAAUGUUAGAUUUCUAACUUUGAAUCAUUAUCUGGUCAAAGAACAGUUUCAGGCUGGCAGUUUGACUGGGGCGGUCGCCUCCUAAACGGUAACGGAGGCGUACAAAGGUUUCCUCUGAACGGUUAGAAAUCGUAUCUAGAGUGUAAAGGCAUAAGGAAGCUUGACUGUGAGACCUACAAGUCGAGCAGGGACGAAAGUCGGUCUUAGUGAUCUGACGGUACUGAGUGGAAAGGCCGUCACUCAACGGAUAAAAGUUACUCUAGGAUAACAGGCUGAUCUCCCCCAAGAGUUCACAUCGACGGGGAGGUUUGGCACCUCGAUGUCGGCUCAUCGCAUCCUGGGGCGGUAGUACGUCCCAAGGGUUGGGCUGUUCGCCCAUGAAAGCGGUACGCGAGCUGGGUUCAGAACGUCGUGAGACAGUUCGGUCCAUAUCCGGUGUAGGCGUUAGAAUAUUGAGAGGAGCCUUCUUUAGUACGAGAGGACCGAGAAGGACAUACCUCUGGUGUACCAGUUAUCGUGCCAACGGUAAACGCUGGGUAGCUAUGUAUGGAGUGGAUAACCGCUGAAAGCAUCUAAGUGGGAAGCCCACCUCAAGAUAAGUAUUCUCAUCACGUAAGUGAGUAAGGUCACGGUAAGACUAACCGUUUGAUAGGCAUUAAGUGUAAGUACAGUAAUGUAUGUGCUGAGAUGUCCUAAUAGACCGAGGACUUG
rnacentral:rRNA from 1 species